GCCAAGCACGGUAGUCCCAGCUACUCAGGAGGCUGAGGUGGGAAGAUCACUUGAGCCCAGGAGCUCUGGGCUGUCGUGCGCUAUGCUGAGCGGGUGUCCGCACUAAGUUCAGCAUCAAUAUGGUGACCUCUUGGGAGUGGGGAACCACCAGGUUGCCUAAGGAGGGGUGAACCGGCCCAGGUCGGAAAUGCAGCAGGUCAAAACUCCCGUGCUGAUCAGAUCAGUAGUGGGAUCGCACCUGUGAAUAGCCACUGCACUCCAGCCUGGGCAACAUUGCGAGACCCCAUCUCU
rnacentral:SRP_RNA from 1 species